AAAUUACCUGAUAUUAUCUAACUGAUGAGCAGCCUGGGUUGAACAGCUAACAGUCAUGAAGACGUCCUUCUACCAGACUAAUGGAGUUUUAAACGUGAUAUACAGUCUUUGGUUACUUCAACAUGCUUUUCCUUACUUUUUACUCUAUGCACUUUGUGUCACCAUUUCUUAGUGAGCUUAUAUACACGCAUCACUUUUUCGUUUUGUUAUACUUGUCAUUAUACAAUCUACAUGGCGAACCCAGAAUGUACGGUUCUCGGUUUGUUGAAGUUAAUCAAGAGGAGGUACAUACAAAAGAAGUAUAUGACUACACUUCUAUCAUACAUAAACAGAUUUGAUUCAUCAUCAAUUCUCUGACCCAAAUCUAUACUCGAUUAGAUAAAUUGGUUUAUGACUAUUGUCACAAAAGCUUAUGACAUAAUCCAAACUAAUAUUGUUGACCACGAUGGCUGUAUCGCUCUUAUGCUGGACGAUAUGACAGAAGUGAAUUAUCUCUGCUACACACUAAAAGCACAAAUCUUGGAUCGACGUUUAUUCCAGUCUACAAUCACUGAAUCAAAUUCAUAUUCAACGGCGAGUUAUUCCUGAUUAAAGUGUUCAUAUAGAGAUCCAAGCCUUCUGUGAUGCUUUCCAGUCUGCUUAUGGGUCAUGAAUUUAUAUUUGUACUGUGUAGAGCUCAAAUGCCAUUCUAGUUCGGUUACUCACAUACCGAUCAAGAGUAGGGUCGCUAAAACCGUUAAUUAGCCAUCCUUGGAAACGCCGCUAAUGGAUCCAUUGAUUAAUGAAUAAGUUACUGUUUUCGGUUCAUUUUCACACAGUGGUGUUGAAUUUUGUGGUUUUAUAAUGAUUAAAAGUGGUGUCAAUUGAAUAACAUCAAUCACGACAUAUAUCUCAGUUUUUUUAUGUUUUUCAACUCUGGCUAUACAUCUAGAGCUAGUCACAGAAUUUUCUACUUAGAACUUUCUAGCUGCUCUCACAAGGUUCAUGGCGAGAAAAGGAUUAUUUUCACUUAUUCACUGCGAUAAUGGCACUAAUUAAUUUUGUUGGUGCUUCAAAGGUGUUGAAUAAUCAUUUUAAAACCAUCAUUUUUGGCCAAUCGAGGUAUUCAAUUUCAUACCACCUUCUGCGCCCCAUUCCGGUGUCCGUUGGGAGUCCGCGGUGAAGUUCGCUAAGCAUCAUUCGUAUAUAGUGUCAAACUUAGCCCUAAACAGUGCCCUAUUUAAGUUCAAAGAAAUCAAUACUUUGCUGUGCUGUAUUGUGGUUAUCUUGAACUCACUCGAGGUCUCAUACUUUUGCCUGAUGAGCCAGAUAUUUCUAAUGUUUCAGAUAAUUGACUGUCAUUUCGAAUUGAUGCGUGUCAGAGCCCAGUCAUUUUGGAAGCGAUGGUCUUUUGAAUAUCUCCCUCAAUUACAAAGAAGAGGAUGUUGAGUAUCAAUCAGUCAUGUAGUGAAGGCUGAAGAUAUAGCAAUUUUAAAAGAGGAAAAUUUGCCUUCGUUUCUUUGAAAGUUAGUUGUUGUACAAGUUCAUCCAGGGGCUGGUGGUGUUGUACGUGUUGUUACCGUCAAGUCAAGUAGUGGGGUUAGACUAUAUAAGUUUGUGAUCAAUCUGUAGGGUCUGCUCCCGAACCAAGAAGAAGAUGAAGAGUCUACUCAAGCGUAAUUGUUAUGUUUCUGCAAUCAUGUUACCGUGUUAAGUCUUUUAAUGUUAUUAAUUUUUAUAAUUUUCUUUUGUUUUGUAUUCAGUUAUUAUAUUAUUGUACACAUUGUUUAUGUAUUAGGUUGAAAGAGAUACUCCUUUCAACGGAGGGAGUUUGUUUCAGCGCGAAAAAGUGUUUGCAUAGGUUGGUAGUAACGCGUCAGCUUCGGUGUAUUGCUGCCCGCAGGGAUCCCGUUUUUCUUCCGGAAGUAUUUUCGUUCUCCGGUGAUCAUACUGUUUGUUGUUUUCUGCUCUUCUCGUAUUCUUAUAAUGGGCAUCACGUCCGACUCCCGAUGUUCCUAGUAACCCCGUUAAAUUUCUUAGUUUGUUUG